AAUUUGAAGUCUGACUGCGUGUUAUUGGCAAGAUACCUACGUGGAUGAUAUCAACAAGCUCGAUGGCCACAAUGAACCAGAUGUUGUCAACUACAUGGAGGACAUCUAUAAGUACUACAAGGCAGCACUGGCUAUUCUUUUCCCCAGGUUCUUAUUGAUCUCUUCUUUGCAUGAGCUUCUGAACACACAUCUAAUGCUUCUAAGAAGCAAAUUCCAUACUCUAGCAGUGACUUGCUUUCCGGGGUUUUGGUGGGAGAAAAUUUUCAGAAGCCAAGUUGUGCUGGACAUAGAUAUACUACGCCAAGGAGCUAAAAAAGGCUCUGGUUUUAUGAGUGCUCAGGCUCUGGUCUGACUUGUACAGCAAAGUUCAAGACUGGUCGCAUGAGCUGAGCCAGAGCAAGAAACAAAGCAGUUCUUUUGUGGACUGAGGGAGCAUUUGACAUGUAUCAU